rnacentral:tRNA from 1 species
UCCCUAGUGGCUCAGAGGUUAAAGCGUCUGCCUACAAUGCAGGAGACCCGGGUUCAAUCCCUAGGUCGGGAA